rnacentral:rRNA from 1 species
GAGAAGCUUGCUUCUUUUGAAAUCGAGUGGCAAACGGGUGAGUAACACGUAAACAACCUGCCUUCAGGAUGGGGACAACAGACGGAAACGACUGCUAAUACCGAAUACGCUUGGAAGACCGCAUGAUUUUCCAAGGAAAGGGUGGCCUCUACCUGUAAGCUAUCGCCUGAAGAGGGGUUUGCGUCUGAUUAGGCAGUUGGUGAGGUAACGGCCCACCAAACCUACGAUCAGUAGCCGGUCUGAGAGGAUGAACGGCCACACUGGAACUGAGACACGGUCCAGACUCCUACGGGAGGCAGCAGUGGGGAAUCUUCCGCAAUGGGCGAAAGCCUGACGGAGCAACGCCGCGUGAGUGAUGACGGCCUUCGGGUUGUAAAGCUCUGUGAUCGGGGACGAACGGUCCGUAAGCUAAUAUCUUAUGGAAGUGACGGUACCCGAAUAGCAAGCCACGGCUAACUACGUGCCAGCAGCCGCGGUAAUACGUAGGUGGCAAGCGUUGUCCGGAAUUAUUGGGCGUAAAGCGCGCGCAGGCGGCUUUCUAAGUCCAUCUUAAAAGUGCGGGGCUUAACCCCGUGAUGGGAUGGAAACUGGAAAGCUGGAGUAUCGGAGAGGAAAGUGGAAUUCCUAGUGUAGCGGUGAAAUGCGUAGAGAUUAGGAAGAACACCGGUGGCGAAGGCGACUUUCUGGACGACAACUGACGCUGAGGCGCGAAAGCGUGGGGAGCAAAC